UACGGAAGGCAGCAGUGGGGAAUAUUGCACAAUGGGCGAAAGCCUGAUGCAGCUAUGCCGCGUGUAUGAAGAAGGCCUUAGGGGUUGUAAAGUACUUUCAUCGGGGAGGAAAAACAAAACUAAUAAUUUUAUUUCUUGACGUUACCCGAAAAAGAAGCACCGGCUAACUCCGUGCCAGCAGCCGCGGUAAUACGGAGGGUGCUAGCGUUAAUCAGAAUUACUGGGCGUAAAGAGCACGUAGGUGGUUUUUUUAAGUCAGAUGUGAAAUCCCUGGGCUUAACCUAGGAACUGCAUUUUGAAACUGAAAUACUAGAGUAUCGUAGAGGGAGGUAGAAUUCUAGGUGUAGCGGUGAAAUGCGUAGAUAUCUGGAGGAAUACCUGUGGCGAAAGCGGCCUCCUAAACGAAUACUGACACUGAGGGUGCGAAAGCGUGGGGAGCAAACAGGGAUUAGAUACC
rnacentral:rRNA from 1 species